rnacentral:lncRNA from 1 species
GCUGUUGACUAUGCAGUAACAUAUGUUGACCAGCUGUUAGUUACAGAUUCUAGAAGCUACAAAUGAGAGCAUGUCACGUGGGUUUUGUUAUAGCCAAUUCCAGCUAUUGCUUUCAGUUAGUUUGUUACCUUAUCUCUUUGUAUAAAUAGCUGGAGACUUUCCUUACUUUGUAGAGAAAAUCUUACGUGCGAUACGUGUUUUUAUUUUUUUUUCGUCAGCUCUUCUUCUUCCUUCCUCUCUCUUCUCCGGCGAAACCGAUCCUCUCCGGCGAAGAUUUUUCACAACUCCUCUUCUUCUUCUUCCUUCCUCUCUCUUGGUGGAGGCGUGAUUUGCACAGGUUGGUGGAGGCGCGGCUCGACGGCGGCGGUAGGGGUUCCAGGUUUCAGGCGGCGGCUGGGCAGAGGGACCUGCUAUGUUUUGAUCGGAGGGGAUCCGGUUUCGCCGAAGAAGAGAGAGGAAGGAAGAAGAAGAGCUGACCGAAAAAAAAAAAAAUACGUGUCGCACACCGGUCGCACACCGGUCGCACAAGACACGUGGCACGGCUGUCGCACGUAAGAUUUUCUCUACUUCGUAACCAAGCUUUUGUGAAUAGAAGAAUUCUUCAUUCUGAUAUUCCUCUUAGUUCGUUUCUCUCUCAAAACUAACUCAUUUCCUUCAAACCCUAGCUCAAAUCUGAUGCCAUGGCUAUCAUGGUAUCAGAGCAGCCAAAGAUCCAAGACCUGUAAUACAUGCUUCCGCACUCGUCUCUGAUCGUCUUCUUUGUUUGUGUGUUCAGAUCUAGCUCUCGCUGUGCUGCGUUUUGAUUUUGAGGCUUGAAUCUUCAUCGAAGCUGGGUUAGAGCUUUCUCGACGAGAUCUGAGCUUUGUUUUGCAAACAUCAGUGGCAUUGUUGAUAGAAAGUUAUCAAAUGGCUUCUCAAAGUACUCCUGCUACCACUACUACCAUUCCAAGCCUUUCUCAUUCCGAUGUUCACUCCUUGUUGAGCAUCAUUACAAUGCGUCUUGGAGAAAGAAAUUUCAUUAAAUGGAGUCUUCAGGUCCAAUCUACUCUUGCUGGAAAUGGAUUAUUUGGAUUUUUUGAUGGCUCAGAGGUAGCUCCUCCUAGAUAUGCUCUCACUUCUGAAGGCGGAAUCACAAAUGAAGAGACUGCAGCUUAUAAAGCUUGGAAACAAACAUAUAUGACUCUUCUUAGCCUUUUCAUGGCUACCUUGGAUGAGGACAUUGUAGAUGUUAUCAUUGGCUGCAAGACAUCUAAACAAGCUUGGAUAGCCCUUCAAGAAUGUUUCUCAGCUGUGUCAAGAGUGAGCAUUAUGCAGCUCAAAACUGAAUUGCAAACACUUCGCAAGGGAAGUGAAACAAUUGAAAAAUAUCUGCAGUGUGUGAAAAAUGCUAAGGAUCAACUGCUAUCUGUGAGAGUGUCCAUUUCUGAUGAGGACAUUGUCAUUGUGAUUUUAAAUGGAUUACCUGAUGAAUACUCUACUGUGAGGACUGUAAUUGAAGGUAGAGAAACUCUUAUUUCUAUGAGAGACUUGAGGUCCCAAUUACUUUCUGCAGAGCGAAGAAUCGAAGGCAGUUUUUCUCUUUUGUCCAACAUGUCUACUAUGAUGGCUAGAGGUAAUUAAUAAUGGAUCAAGAGAUGCAAACAGACAUGGUACUGGCAGAGGUUGGGAUACAACUGAAGGAAAAACUAAAGAUAGCAAUUUUACUGGCAGUGGUGUUGAGUGUUCAGUUUGUGGGAAAAGAGGCCAUACAGUGGAUACUUGUUUUCGAGUUCACAAGUGCCAAAUUUGUGGGAAACAUGGUCAUCUUACAAGUACUUGUUAUCAGAACCCUGAUUAUAAGUCUCAACAAACUUCUCAGUCAAAAUAUAGGACUCAGAGCAAUGGUCCAUCUCCUGAAUGUCAGAUUUGUUCCAAGAAGGGUCAUACUGCUGCAAAUUGCUUCUAUAGAACUGAUGUUCCUGAUGGACAUCCAUCUUUGUCUAUUCCGACAUGUCAGAUUUGUGGACUCAAGGGACAUGUUGCUUUGAAUUGUUCUCAUAGAACAAACUUUACAUAUCAAGGAUCUGAUCCUCCUUCAUCUCUUACUGCUCUUGCUGCUCAGUCAACUGCAAAUGUCAAGGGUGUCUUUCAACAGACUCAAGGAGGAGGAUAUCUGGUGUCUAAUGGAUCAUCUAGCUCUAGUUUUCCUAGUGGAUUUCAUCCUAGCAGUGGGGCUUCUUCUUCUAAUAAUAUGUCUGCUUCAUCUAAUGGUCAAUCUAAUAGUGAAGUCUGGAUUGGGGACACUGGUGCUACACAUCACAUGACUUCAGAGCUAAGAAAUCUCACCAUUGCUCAACCAUAUGCUUCUGACAACAAAAUAACCAUUGGUAAUGGUACAAGUUUAAGUGUAGCACACACUGGUUCUAGUUACAUUAAACCUGCUGAUCAUAUCUUACAGUUAAACCAAGUUCUUCAUGUUCCAGACUUAGCAGUUAACUUGUUAUCUUUCACCAAGUUAUGUAGAGAUAAUGAUUGUUUUAUAACUCUUGACGAAGCUAAUAUUGCUGUGCAAGACAAGGCAUCCAAAACAGUACUUUACCAAGGAAAAGUAGUGAGGGAGGAUUGUUUCUAUUCAAGUCUAUACCAACAUCUUCCAUUUCUCAAUCUCAUCCACCUGCUUUUGUCAGUUCAGCUUCUCCAUUCUCAUUAUGGCAUCAAAGACUAGGUCAUCCUUCUCACCCUAUCAUGUCCCAAAUGUCAUCUAGGUCACAAAUAAAAAUUCCUAGUUCUAUUUCUAGUUCAGUAUGCUCUUUUUGUUUAGAAGGCAAGAUGCAUAGACUCCCAUUUUCAGAUUCUGAAAUAAAAACAUAUGUACCCUUUACUAGGAUUCAUUCUGAUGUAUGGGGCAGCUCCAUGUCUUUCCAUAGAAGGACAUAAGUACUAUGUUAUUUUUAUCGAUGAUUGUACAAAGUUUGUGUGGAUUUUUCCACUUAUCAAUAAAUCUAAUGUUUUUGCCAAAUUUGUUCAUUUUUGUGCCUUUGUUGAAAAUCAAUUCAAUUCAAUUCAACAAUCAAGUUGUUUCAAACAGAUGGAGGUGGUGAAUUCAAUAGUAAAGCCUUUCAUAAUUUUCUAUCUUCAAAAGGUAUUUUGCAUCAAAUUUCUUGUCCCUAUACUCAGCAAAAUGGUGUUGCUGAGAGAAAGAAUAGACAUAUAGUAGAGACAGCUAUCACUUUAAUGUCUACAACAGGCAUUCCUAAACACUUUUGGUUUCACAGUGUUGCUCAUUCAUGUUAUCUAAUUAAUAGAAUGCCUAGCAAAUCUUUGAACAUGUCUUCUCCAUAUGAGCUCUUGUUUAAUAACCUUCAGAUAUUACUCAGCUGAAAAUUUUUGGCUCUUCAUGCUAUCCCUAUCUCAGACCAUAUGCUCAUGACAAGUUGGACCCUAGGACAACACAAUAUGUCUUCUUGGGCUAUGCAUUAGGUUACAAGGGAGUAUUCUGCUAUAGUAUUUCUCAUAAUAAACUUUGGAUGUCAAGACAUGUGAUUCAUGAUGAACACAUUUUUCCAUUCCAUAACUCCAAGUUUUCAUUGUCACCCCCCAUUGAUCCUGUUACUUUCUUUCCACCUUCUUCCUCUGUCACUACUCUUCCUUCUUCCCGGAUGCUUGUCCCAGCUAUGUCAGUUAUUAAUGCAUGUUCUACCUUGCAUGGUGCACCAUCAAGAGUCGACAUGCCUUCUCUUGGAUCCACUAACAACUCAGAUUCAGAUAUUGGUGUUAAUGAUGUGCAUAUUUCAGUUGAGAAUGCAGUUGAAGAUUCAAAUCAUAUUGAGAAUGCAGCUACUGUUAACAUUACUGAGGAUGUUUUAGAUGGUGCAAAUUGCUCUAAUGGUGGUGGCAUAUCAGUUGAGACUGCAGCUGAAGGUAUAGUCACAAAUAUUGUUGAGAAUGCAAUUCAAGGUAUAGUCACAAAUGACAUUUCUGCUCUGAAUGAAAGUGAACUGAAUGCUUUGCAAUUUGGAGGAAACUUGGAACAAAAUCUUCCUCAAGAGCUUGAAUUUAUUGUUCAUCAAAAUUACAAUGAUCAUUCUAUGAUGACUUGAGCAAAGAAUGGUAUUGUUAAAAAGAAGAGCUUUGAGGAUUUUUAUUGUUAUUCUGCAGUUGCUCAGCAAAAAUUGUAUACUGAAUAUCCUUUCUUCAGUGGAUUUACUGCUGUAUCUGAUAUAAGUGAUGUAAUUGAACCAAAGUCUUUCAGGGCAGCUACUGGCAAGGUGGAGUGGGAUCAUGCAAUGCUAGAAGAAAUUGAGGCAUUACAAAAACAAGGAACUUGGACUCUUGUUCCUUGUCCACUAAACAUGAAUAUUGUGGGGAGCAAGUGGAUUUUCAAAGUAAAGAAAAAUCCUGAUGGCAGCAUUUCAAGAUAUAAAGCAAGGUUAGUUGCUCAAGGUUUUAGUCAGUCUAAGGGUAUCGAUUAUGAUGAAACACUAUCAGGGUUCUUUUAGCUCUUGCUGCUAUGAAUAAUUGGGAGUUACGACAGCUGGAUGUCAAGAAUGCAUUCUUACAUGGGGAUCUGAAGGAGGAAGUUUACAUGUCUCAGGUUUCAUUGGUUCAGAGUAUCCUAAUCAUGUAUGUUUACUUCGAAAGUCACUCUAUGGCUUGAAACAAGCUCCAAGAGCUUGGAAUGAGAAAUUCACCAGCUUUCUUCCAAGUUUGGGUUUUACUUUCUCACGCUCAGAUCCUAGUUUGUUUAUUAGACAUACAGAUGCAGGAAUGGUUGCUUUGUUAUUAUAUGUGGAUGAUAUAGUUAUAAUCGGAUCAGAUGUAGUAGGUAUUCAUGAAGUCAUCUCUGAGUUAAGCAUGGUAUUUGAUAUGAAAGAUCUUGGUUCUUUGUCAUAUUUUCUUGGUCUGAAAGUUACAAAGGUUCAGAAAGGAAUAUUACUCAGUCAAACUAAGUAUGCAAAAGAUUUACUUGUUAAAGCUGGAAUGGAAUCUAUUAACACUUGCAGCUCUCCUUGUCUUCCACAUUCUCAGAUGACAGCUGAUCAAGGUACACCACUUACAAACCCUGCUAUGUACCGAAGUAUUGUAGGAGCAUUACAAUACUUAACAUUCACUUGUCUUGAUACAGCAUAUGCAGUAAAUACAGUGUGUCAAUUCAUGACUAGUCCCACAGAUGUUCAUUAUGCUGCUGUUAAAAGGAUUUUGAGGUAUCUAAAGGGUACAAUUUCUAAGGGCAUAUUUUAUAGUUCUGUUGGUGCUUUACAUAAUGCUGUGACUGUGAAGGCCUUUUGUGAUGCUGAUUGGGUUGGAGAAGUGAUACAAAAACGCUCUACUACUGGGUUCGUAGUCUAUCUUGGCUUGUGUCCAGUGUCUUGACAAUCUAAGAAACAAGGUACUGUUUUAAGGAGCUUUACAGAAUCUGAGUAUAGAAGUCUUGCAAAUACUGCAGCAGAGAUUAGUUGGAUCAGACAUCUUCUUUGUGAUUUGAAGAUUCAAAUUCCAUGUGCACCUUUGCUUAAAUGUGACAACUUGUUUGCUUUGGCAUUAGCUUGUAAUCCUGUCUUCCACUCUAAGAUCAAGCACUUGGACAAUGAUUUUCAUUUUGUCCGUGAAAGAGUUCAGCAUAAUGAUCUUCGACUUGAGUAUGUAUGCACUACAGAACAGACUGCAGAUAUUCUGACAAAGGGUACUUCUCCUAUUUUUAAAACUCACUGUGUCAAUCUCAGGCUAGCAUCCCUAACUGAGCUUGAGGGAGGAUGUUGACUAUGCAGUAAAAUAUGUUGACCAGCUGUUAGUUAUCUUUAACAGAUUCUAGAAGCUACAAAUGAGAGCAUGUCACGUGGGUUUUGUUAUAGCCAAUUCCAGCUAUUGCUUUCAGUUAGUUUGUUACCUUAUCUCUUUGUAUAAAUAGCUGGAGACUUCCCUUACUUUGUAACCAAGCUUUUGUGAAUAGAAGAAUUCUUCAUUAUGAUAUUACUCUCAGUUCGUUUCUCUCUCAAACUAACUCAUUUCCUUCAAACCCUAGCUCAAAUCUAAUGCCAUGGCUAUCACUGGGUAGUGACCAUGAAUAAUCGAAAAAAAUUCCACAAAUUCCAUAAACAAAUUCCAGAUGUUGAAAUUUCAAAGCAAUUAUGCUCAACCAAAUUUUCUCUUCAAAUUUGUCAUUUAAUUUCCUUUUUUCCCCAGUUAGGCCCAAUACCUCUUAAAUUAAGGCCAUGGAGAACACCCGAACAAGAGGACAACCUCGCAUUAAGGCCAACGAGGACAACCCGAACUAAGCGGAUUCCCGGUUGGGCAAGUCUUUCACCGUAAAGAGGCACAAUCAUACUUAAUUAUUUUCCGGGCCUAACCAGAUUUAAGUUUCAUCACAUUUGUAAAAUCUGUUUUAAUUAUAAAUAGAAUUAAAAUACAGGUAUUACACCUCUUUGCUAGGACAACCAAAGGCACACAAAUUUUGCAUACCGAGACUAAGCCAAUAUUGCCGUACCAAAAACUGAAAAGAUAUUAUUUUAGCAAAAAACCAUGAUUUGUUGAAGAAAUAAACAUAAAAUAAAAUUGCAGAAGGCGUUAUGCAUCCAUCUUGUCCGGCCAAUGGCAGAUUUAAAUCAUCUUGUCCUUCUCAAAAUUUCAUGAAGAUCUUGAUUGGUCUGGUCGCUGGUAGACCUGUAAAUGGACCGGAUCUUGAUCAGGACACGCUCCGGAUCCGUGGUUUUUAAACGGGUUUGGAUCGAAAAUUAGACCCGUUGAUCCAUUAAGGACCUGGAUCCGUUAACCUGUUUAUUAAAUGGAUCAGAUAUGGAUCGAGGUUGAUCAGAUCCGUUAAGGACCCGGAUCCGUUUUAAAAUAAUUAAAUAAUAUUUUUAUAAAUAUAAUAUUAUUGAUAAAUAUUCAAUAAUAUAAUAAUUAUUUGGAUAACCUAAACGUCUAAAUUGCAUCUAAAGUAUGAUCAUUUGAUGAAGUUGAAGAUUACUUAUGCGUAUAUUUUUUUUAUGCUCUUUGCUAAUAAAUACAUUGGAGGUCUAGUAUUUUGAAUGUAUUAGUUUAUUGUUAAGAAGUAUUUUGGCCAUGUAAUUCAAUUUUUAAUGUAAACCUUUAUUUUGUUAUAAUAUUUCAUUAGUGUUUUAUGAAAAUUUAUGAUAAAAUUAAAAAAUUAUUAUUUAAAAUUUGAAAAUAUUUAUUAUUAUAAACGGAUCGGAUUAACGGGUCGGGUAUCCGUUAACCCGUUGGAUCCGGAUUUAGAUCUAGCUAUCAAAGAUCCGACGGGUAACGGGUCGGAUCCGGAUCCAAAAUUUCUAUUAUGGAUCCGGAUCCGGAUUUAGGUCGAUCCGCUCCAGAUCUGGUCCAUUUACAGGUCUAUAUCUAGUGUUGCUUUCGCCGACCUUGCAUGGCCCCAUACCCAAGUUUGAAAGCAACACUAAAUAACGCUGAUUGUAAUUAAAUCAUAUCUAUUCUUGGUAGUUAUGGAGGAGAAAACGUUCUAACGGUCUCUAGGCACAAAUUAGUCUCUGCGAGAAAGCAUUAUUAGGCAAAAAUGAGUAUAUAUAGGCCUCUAUAGAGAUUUUCUCAGGUAAGGAUGUCCUUAUUUAUUUUUAUGAUGUGGAUUUCUAUUUUAGACUCACUUUUCAAUCGAAUUUUCACAUCUCCACCGUCUAAUCUUUAUGUAUUAACAUGUAAAUCAUCGCUGCAAAUUUUCAGUCAAUUUAAUAAUCGGUAAGACACUCAAACUCGAUUAAACCAAUGGACGAGCUGAAUUUUGUCAAACUUGAACCGUUCAUGUUUAUAACAGAAAAAUGCAAUUUUGAUGGCCUUAAUGAUUAUCAAGUUAGCUGAAAAUUUGCAGAGAUGAUCUACACAUUAGUAUCUAAAGACUAGACUGUGGAGAUGUGAAA